UACGUAGGGACCGAGCGUUGUCCGGAAUCAUUGGGCGUAAAGAGCGUGUAGGCGGCCACUUAAGUCCUGCGUGAAAUCGUUGACGGCCUCAACCGCAAGCGGUCGUGGGAAACUGGGUGGCUAGAGUGCGGGAGAGGGAGAGUGGAAUUCCUGGUGUAGCGGUGGAAUGCGCAGAUAUCAGGAGGAACACCGGUGGUGUAGACGGCUUUCUGGACCGUAACUGACGCUGAGACACGAAGCGUGGGUAGCAAACAGG
rnacentral:rRNA from 1 species